ensembl:lncRNA
UGACACAACAUCUUUAAACAUUUUUAAUUACCCUGUCAAACUGACAAUUAUAGAGCUAAUUAUUAGGAAGACAAUACCAGCUAUACUGAAUAGCACAUCAACAGUGGUUUUAUGUAAUUAUACAAUUUAAUGAAUUGAAGGCUACAGUAAUGGACUAUAUCUGGUUAAUUAGAGCCUCUCUUUCUGCUAAUAAUGCCAUUUAUUUUCAACUCACUGUAUUUGUUUUUUCUGUAAAACUAGGCAUGUUUCCACAGAUGAUGAAGGAUUUCUCACAGCAGCUCCCAUGCGCCUUCUGUUGUUUAUGGUAGGCAGGCUUUUUCAUGGCAUGGACGAUGAACUCCAGCUUGAUGCUCUUUCAUGUCCAACUUGGCUGUAUUCCCUAAGGGUUGAUUAGAGACUGGGGCUGGGUGGGCGGCGGGACAGACCCCUCAGACCCCUUCCCGGGCCAGGAGGUGCCCAGCAGCACACGGGUGGGCCAGCACAUGUCUGGAGCUCUCACAGGACCAUCCCCGGCAGCAGCAGCAGGCACCGCGCUCCCAGCGCCACGGAGCAGCGUGCAGGGGCACAGGGACAGGGCUGCCAUGGGGGCUCCUGCCCCGGCACAGCCCACAGGAAGGAAAAUUGAAAAUUUAAAUUAUUUCCCUUGCCGAUAACAUUUUGGAGGGUUUGAAGCAUCCUAAUUCCUCAUUGUUGAAUGAAAAUUGUCUGAUAAAUUAUUGAUCAUAUUUAAAAUGUACAUUUUAAUUCUUCUUUUCUCUUUUUGGAAAUUAUUAACCUGUUUUAAUUUUCUAAUCACUUGGAGCUAUUUCCCAUUACUGUUACCUGGAGGGGUUGAACAGUCUCCCGUGCACAGAGCAGACACCUACAGGAUGAAGUAAGAGCUUCUUUUUGCACCAAGUGUUGGUGGAACUUGCAGACUGCGCAAGCCUCGAGCACCACGAGCUGGGUGGUGUGGGGCAGCCCCCAGCGCGCGGUCCUCCCGGGCACGGGGCAGGCAGACCCCUUCUGCAGAGCUGCAGGACCUGGCAGAUGAGAGCACCAAAUCCGUCCUCUCACAUCUGCACUUCACUGGCAUCAAUGCCACAACUAUUUGGCAGGUGACUUCCUUGCAGAGUGUUACUAGCUUUGCCUACCGUGCACACCCAAACACACUGUAGGACUCCCCAUCUAAGUGAAAGCUGUUGUUAGGAAGGAAUAAAUUCAUCAAUGUACUUGUAAAUUAAUAAAAUCCUGGCAAUUGUGAAAACAUCCUGAGUUUUUGUUGGCCUGGAGAUUUAUUCAGUCCUGCUGGCUUCCCAGCUGAGGCAGAAAAGAUCAUAAACCUGCCAAGAGAAAUGCCUCUGCAAAAUGUUCCAGGCUCAGCUAUAACAUUCCUCCUCCUGCUGGCACAUCAGCCAAGGUGCCUCAAAAAGGCCAAGAGCUGAACUUGCAAAGCCCAUUCAUUUUGUCCUUGCCAGCAGCCAUUCAGUGGCAUUAACACUGACAAGAGUCGACCAUUCUGCAGUUUGGAUUUGGUUCGGGGGGAUCUUUCAAAGCUUCAUUCUUUCUAGGAGUAUAAUAAGCCUUGAGCUGUGUUUCAUGCCCAUCGAAAUCAGCACAGUCCAUGAGGGAGCGCUGGGAGAGCUGUGGCAGGGAUGUGGGCUGCGCACCAGC